UGUGAGAGAAAUGGAUUCAGGUACAGAAUGAGGCACGUGAAAGGAAGGGUCCCGACUUAGAAGGAAGAACAGAUCUAAAACAGGUUGAGCGAAGUAACCGUCGAAUUACGGUUUUUAAGAGAGGCAGUUAAAAUGUUGAUGAACGAAUAUAAAAUGAUGAGUCAGGGACUCGAAAACCACCAAAUGCCGGGGUUCUCACUGGAUAUUACAAAUUGGAAGAUAAUUACACGAUACCGAAUGAGGAGCUCUGAUUUACCAACGUAUCGAGAAAAGAUCUGCUUCGAAGCAAACUGCCGCUUUAUCUAGUGUCCGCGGGGCAACAACUGAGAUUUUUCCACCCUACGUUGGAGAACGAGCACCAGUCUACGUGAAAAGGGCCCGGAUUUUCCAGCUCCGUUGGACUUGCGUUUUCCUUUCGGGACCGGAUGGGUCUGCUUUCGUUUGCCAGAAGCUGGAAUGACACUUGGUUGAAAUGGAGAGUGUACGAUGCCCUUUGUUUUUUCUAGAAAGCGUAAAUAAUCGUGCUUAGAUUUUCCAAU